rnacentral:rRNA from 1 species
CAUAGGGUGCAAGCGUUAAUCGGAAUUACUGGGCGUAAAGGGUGCGCAGGCGGCUUGGAAAGAACGGUGUGAAAUCCCGGGGCUCAACCCCGGAACUGCACUAUUAACUAUCAAGCUAGAGUAUGUCAGAGGGGGUGGGAAUUCCGCGUGUAGCAGUGAAAUGCGUAGAUAUGCGGAGGAACACCAAUGGCGAAGGCAGCCCCCUGGGAUAAUACUGACGCUCAGGCACGAAAGCGUGGUAGCAAACAGGAUU